GUUAAGCGACUAAGCGUACACGGUGGAUGCCCUGGCAGUCAGAGGCGAUGAAGGACGUGCUAAUCUGCGAUAAGCGUCGGUAAGGUGAUAUGAACCGUUAUAACCGGCGAUUUCCGAAUGGGGAAACCCAGUGUGUUUCGACACACUAUCAUUAACUGAAUCCAUAGGUUAAUGAGGCGAACCGGGGGAACUGAAACAUCUAAGUACCCCGAGGAAAAGAAAUCAACCGAGAUUCCCCCAGUAGCGGCGAGCGAACGGGGAGCAGCCCAGAGCCUGAAUCAGUGUGUGUGUUAGUGGAAGCGUCUGGAAAGGCGCGCGAUACAGGGUGACAGCCCCGUACACAAAAAUGCACAUGCUGUGAGCUCGAUGAGUAGGGCGGGACACGUGGUAUCCUGUCUGAAUAUGGGGGGACCAUCCUCCAAGGCUAAAUACUCCUGACUGACCGAUAGUGAACCAGUACCGUGAGGGAAAGGCGAAAAGAACCCCGGCGAGGGGAGUGAAAAAGAACCUGAAACCGUGUACGUACAAGCAGUGGGAGCACGCUUAGGCGUGUGACUGCGUACCUUUUGUAUAAUGGGUCAGCGACUUAUAUUCUGUAGCAAGGUUAACCGAAUAGGGGAGCCGAAGGGAAACCGAGUCUUAACUGGGCGUUAAGUUGCAGGGUAUAGACCCGAAACCCGGUGAUCUAGCCAUGGGCAGGUUGAAGGUUGGGUAACACUAACUGGAGGACCGAACCGACUAAUGUUGAAAAAUUAGCGGAUGACUUGUGGCUGGGGGUGAAAGGCCAAUCAAACCGGGAGAUAGCUGGUUCUCCCCGAAAGCUAUUUAGGUAGCGCCUCGUGAAUUCAUCUCCGGGGGUAGAGCACUGUUUCGGCAAGGGGGUCAUCCCGACUUACCAACCCGAUGCAAACUGCGAAUACCGGAGAAUGUUAUCACGGGAGACACACGGCGGGUGCUAACGUCCGUCGUGAAGAGGGAAACAACCCAGACCGCCAGCUAAGGUCCCAAAGUCAUGGUUAAGUGGGAAACGAUGUGGGAAGGCCCAGACAGCCAGGAUGUUGGCUUAGAAGCAGCCAUCAUUUAAAGAAAGCGUAAUAGCUCACUGGUCGAGUCGGCCUGCGCGGAAGAUGUAACGGGGCUAAACCAUGCACCGAAGCUGCGGCAGCGACACUAUGUGUUGUUGGGUAGGGGAGCGUUCUGUAAGCCUGUGAAGGUGUACUGUGAGGUAUGCUGGAGGUAUCAGAAGUGCGAAUGCUGACAUAAGUAACGAUAAAGCGGGUGAAAAGCCCGCUCGCCGGAAGACCAAGGGUUCCUGUCCAACGUUAAUCGGGGCAGGGUGAGUCGACCCCUAAGGCGAGGCCGAAAGGCGUAGUCGAUGGGAAACAGGUUAAUAUUCCUGUACUUGGUGUUACUGCGAAGGGGGGACGGAGAAGGCUAUGUUGGCCGGGCGACGGUUGUCCCGGUUUAAGCGUGUAGGCUGGUUUUCCAGGCAAAUCCGGAAAAUCAAGGCUGAGGCGUGAUGACGAGGCACUACGGUGCUGAAGCAACAAAUGCCCUGCUUCCAGGAAAAGCCUCUAAGCAUCAGGUAACAUCAAAUCGUACCCCAAACCGACACAGGUGGUCAGGUAGAGAAUACCAAGGCGCUUGAGAGAACUCGGGUGAAGGAACUAGGCAAAAUGGUGCCGUAACUUCGGGAGAAGGCACGCUGAUAUGUAGGUGA
rnacentral:rRNA from 1 species